rnacentral:rRNA from 1 species
UACGUAGGUGGCAAGCGUUAUCCGGAUUUACUGGGCGUAAAGGGAGCGCAGGCGGUGCGCCAAGUCUGAUGUGAAACCCCGGGGCUCAACCCCGGGCAUGCAUUGGAAACUGGCGGGCUGGAGUGCCGGAGAGGUAAGCGGAAUUCCUAGUGUAGCGGUGAAAUGCGUAGAUAUUAGGAGGAACACCAGUGGCGAAGGCGGCUUACUGGACGGCAACUGACGCUGAGGCUCGAAAGCGUGGGGAGCAAACAGG